rnacentral:lncRNA from 1 species
ACACCACCACGCCGUACGCUGCGUUAGCGGAAGUUUAAUGGCCCCAUUGGUGGGAUGCGUGGCCAAUAAAGGGCAAGAAUAAGGCGGAUUCCGCCUUCCUCGUGGCUGACUGGAUGCAUCCGCUGGUACUGAUUUACGAAGAGAAUGAUCAUGAAGGGCAAAUGGCAGUGAAGCAAGAAGAGCUGGCUUCAGGCUCAGAAGAGAAUGCUGUGCCUCUUCCUCAUGGUUUGCGGUGCCCUGCAUGUUCAGAGAAACUUCUCUAGUAAUGAAUGAACUAUAGAAAUGAUCCCUGAAAAUAUGGUCUUGAUACUUUAUUUUUGUGGUGGUUUUUUUUGUUUUGUUCUGUUUUUGAUGGAAUUUUGCUCUUGUUGCCCAGGCUGGAGUGCAAUGGCACGAUCUCCACUCACUGCAACCUCCACCUCCCGGGUUCAAGCAAUUCUCCUGCCUCAGCCUCCCAAGUAGCUGGGAUUAUAGGCAUGUGCCACCAUGUCCAGCUAAUUUUGUAUUUUUAGUAGAGACGGUUUCUCCGUGUUGGUCAGGCUGGUCUAGAACUCCCUACCUCAGGUGAUCCACCCGCCUCGGCCUCCCAAAGUGCUGGGAUUACAGGGGUGAGCCACUGCGCCAGGUCAGGGCCAAAAGGAGCAGCUUGGGAUCCUUAUUCUGUGAAAAGAAGUUCACUUCUUUCUUAAUUCAGAUUUUGUGCUGGGCAAGGUGGGUCACGCCUUUAAUCCCAACACUUUGAGAGGCCAAGGUGGGCAGAUCACUUGAGGUCAGGAGUUCGAGAUCAGCCUGGCCAACAUGGUGAAAACCCGUCUCUACUAAAAAUACAAAAAUUAGCUGGGCAUGGUGGUGCACACCUGUAGUCCCAGCCACUCAGGAGGCUGAGGCACAGGAAUCCCUUGAACCCAGGAGGCAGAGGUUGCAGUGAGCUGAGAUUGUGCCACUGCACCCCAGCCUGGGCGACAGAGCAAGACUCCGUCUCAGACAAAAAAAAAAAAAUACAAAAAAAAAAAAAAACAAAGAUUUUUAAAUACCUAUUUGCCAAUUCAUAUGUAGUUGAUUUGGAGCAUGUACUACAAGAUUGGUUCUAAAUAUAUAUAAAUUAAGAGCUGAGAAAGUUAUUGCUAAGCUAAAUUCAACCAAUUACACUGUUUUUUUCUGCUCUCUCCUUGCACCUAUUUUAUUCUAAUUCUGUUUGUCAGGCUACUUACUUUUAUAAUCUUUUUUAGUGUGGAAACAGUAGAAAAAAGGUAGAGAAAAAUGAUAUCAUGAACACUUGUUUUUAAUUUGAAAAUUUUUUUUUAAAUAGAGACGAGGUCUCACUAUGUUGCUCAGGUUGAUCUCAAACUCUUGAGCUCAAGCGAUCCUCCCUCUUUGGCCACCCAAGGUGGCGGGAUUACAGAUAUGAGCCAUCACAGCAGGCCCAAAGCAGAUGUUUUAAUAAGCACUAUUACUCAAAGCUAGAUAUGUGAUUUUGAGCAAGGUAUUUUAUUUUCCUCUAAACUCCAAAUUACUCAUCAAGUGACAAUGUCUCUUGUUCAGGGGUUUUAUGAAAAUUAAGUAACAAUAAAAGUAAGAUAGCACAGUGUAGGCAUUCAGGAAUUAUAAGUUGAAGUUCCAACUCUUCCUCUACCUAUACCCCUUACUUUGUGAGAUUACAGGAAGGAUGACAAAAAAGGAUAUGUUGGGUUUUUUUUUGUUUUUUGUUUUUUGUUUUGAGACAGAGUUUCACUCUUGUUGCCCAGGCUGGAGUACAAUGGUGUGAUCUCAGCUCACUGCACCCUCCACCUCCCAGGUUCAAGUGAUUCUCCUGUCUCAGCCUCCCGAGUAGCUGGGAUUACAGGUGCAUGCCACCACACACAGCUAAUUUUUGUAUUUUUAGUAGAGUUUCAUCAUAUUGGUCAGACUGGUCUCGAACUCCUGACCUCAGGUGAUUCACCUGCCUCAGCCUCCCAAAGUGCUGGGAUUACAGGAAUGAGCCACCACGCCUGGCCUUUGUUGUUUUUUUGAGACAGAGUCUCCCUUUGUUGCCCAGGCUGGAUGGAGUGCAGUGGCACGAUCUCGGCUCCCUGCAACCUCCGCCUCCCAGGUUCAAGUGAUUCUCCUACCUCAGCCUCCUGAGUAGCUGGCAUUACAGGUGCGCUAUCACACCCAGCUCAUUUUUGUAUUUUUAGUAGAGACGAGGUUUCGCCAUGUUGGCCAGGCUGGUCUCAUACUCCUGACCUCAAGUGAUCCACCCACCUCGGCCUCCCAAAGUGCUGGGAUUACAGGUGUGAGUCACCGCGCCCAGCCCCAAAAAGGAUAUGUUUGCUGAGCCCUUUAAUUGUUGAAAAUGAACCUUGAAAAAAAGAAAAAUUAAUGAUAGGACUAGGAAUGUACACCAUCCAGGAGGAUUGCUUGAGCCCAGGAGGCGGAGGUUGCAGUGAGCCCAGAUCUCUCCACUGCACUCCAGUCUGGGCGACAGAGUCAGAUCCUGUCUCAAAACAAAAAAGAAGAAAAUUAUAGGCAAAGAAAUGUAGAUUUCUUUUAUUUAAUAUUUAAAAGAGAGUUGUUGUGAAGUUGAUAUGAAUUUAUGUGAAAUAAGACUACCAAGGCUGGGCGCUUGGCUCAUGCCUGUAAUCCCAGCACUUUGGGAGGCCAAGGUGGGAGGAUCACCUGUGGUCAGGGGUUCGAGACUAGCCUGGCCAACAUGGCGAAACCUUGUCUCUACUAAAAAUACAAAAAUUAACUGGGUGUGGUAGCGCACCUGUAAUGCCAGCUACUCAGGAGGCUGAGGCAGAAGAAUCGCUUGAAACUGGGCAGUGGAGGUUGCAGUGAACUGAGAUUGCACCACUGCACUCCAGCCUGGGCAACAGAGCAAAACUCCAUCUCAAAAAAAAAAAAAAAAAAAAAAGACUACCAGACUGAUGUGGUAUUUUUAGGAUUUUUUUUUCUUUUUUUUUUUUUUUUGAGAUGGCCCGACCUCUUCUUUUUUAUCAUAUGAUCUCUAACUGAUGUAUGUGACACAAUAAUACAAAACUAUUUGAGCUAUAAAAGAAAUAUGAAAGGCUUCUGUUUUCUUUUGUAGGCCUUCUGGAACUUUUGCCUCAGACUCAAAUACCAAUGACUCCUAAUCAUACCAAUAUCCCUACUCAUUGCCUACUUAUUUCUGGAUUUACAUAUUAUUUGACUCUCUCAUCUCAUAUCCUAGAGAAGUAUUUAGUAAGAGUUGGAUCUGGCCAGGUAGGGUGGCUAACGCCUGUAAUCCUAGCACUUUGGGAGGCUGAGGUGGGUGGAUCACCUAAGGACAGGAGUUGGAGAGCAGCCUGGCCAACAUGGUGUAACCCCAUCUCUACUAAAAAUACAAAGAUUAGCUGGGUGUGGUGGUGGGCACCUGUAAUCCCAGCUACUUGGGAGGCUGAGGCAGGACAAUUGCUUGAACCCUGGGGGCGGAGUUUGCAGUGAGCCAAGAUCGUGCCACUGCACUCCAGCCUGGGCGACAGAGUGAGACUCCGUCACAAAAAAAAAAAAAAAAAAAAAAAAAGUUGGAUUUAAUUUUCUAAGCAUUAGGUUAAAAUUUUUUUGCUAGAUAACAUGGUGUCCUAAGAUAAGCCAAGCAUUAUAAAGAUGGCUCUGAUGAUUGCCAGGAACGUAUUAUGUAUGCAGUAAUAAUAACACAUUGCAACAAAGCCAUGUUUUCUCCCAUUUUUAAAAACAUGUUUUGAUGAUGAAGGAUAUAAAAUACAGAGUCACAGUGAAAGCCUGCAGCUUGAGUACGUUUGUAAUCAGAUGAUUACAGAUGAUUGCUAUGAGGCUAAUGAAGUGAAAUUUACUCCUAGGUUUGAGAGUAGAUCAUAAAAGGAACAUUAAGGAGAUUAUAGUCUCAAUCAUGAACAUAUUCACCUAAUUAACAUUUUCCUACCUUUGAAUUUAAAUAUCAAAAGUAGAUACGUGAUAGUUGUUGAUUUGUAAUACAAAAUUUACUACUUUUGAUAGUCAUUUCUCACUUAAGCUUGUAGCAUGUAAUAAUUUUUUUUCCCACAAAUCUUUUCCUACAUUAAAAAAAUAUACAUAAAAAACUUGGCUGGGCGUGGUGGCUCUCGCCUGUAAUCCCAGCACUUUGGGAGGCCGAGGUGGGCAGAUCACUUGAGGUCAUGAGUUCGAGACUGGCCUGGCCAACAUGGCUAAACCCCAUCUCUACUAAAAAUACAAAAAUUAGCCAGGCGUGGUGCCACAUGCCUGUAGUACUAGCUACUCAGAAGGCUGAGGCAGGCUGAGAAGGCUGAGGCAGGCUGCAGUGAGCCAAGAUCGUGCCACUGCACUCCAGCCUAGGCAACAGGGCGAGACUCCGUCUUAAGGAAAAAAACAAAAAACUUAUUUGGGUUGGGCACAGUGGCUCACGCCUAUAAUCCCAGCACGUUGGGAGGCCAUGGUGGGUGGAUCACUUGAGGUCAGGAGUUUGAGACCAUCCUGGGCAAAAUGGUGAAACCCAGUCUCAACAAAAAAUACAAAAAACUAGCUAGGUGUGGUGGCGCUUGCCUGUAGUCCCAGCUACUGGGGAAGCUGAGGCAUGAUCACUUGAGCCUAGGAGGCAGAAGCUGCAGUGAGCAGAGAUUGCAGGAUUACACCACUGCACUCCAGCCUGGGCAACAGAGUGAAACUCUGUCUCUAAAACAAACAAACAAACAAAAAAACCUUAUUUGACUACUUCUUGAAGCAAAAUGCGCAGUGAAAAGAAAACUGUUUCUUUCAAAAAACAAAAUCAUAAAUAUAUACCUAGUAUAAGCGGGAUAAAUUAUACCCUUUGUCCUCAGCCCCUGCGAGAAUGCUCAGGGCAGAAGAUAAAUCUCCCUCUUUCCCCAUACAGAUGCCUUAACUACCUAUUUGAUCAGCUAAGAUAAGGAAAAGCAAGGAUUUCAAAGCCUUGCUGGGUCCUUGAGUAUUAGAUGAUAGCCCUGCAGGUAGAAGACUCUGUAACAUGAAACUAUCAUUAUGGUUCUCAUUCCUUAUGUGCAAGUAGGCCUCUGGGCGUGAUUAGGAAAUUGGAGGAUAAAAAAUGAGGAACAGAAACCACUCUGCACAAAUAACAUAAAGUACUACAUUACAUGGAAUGUGUUUUAUUUAGAAAAAUAUUUCUCUUUAACGUGAUUCACUCAAGAGAUGUUAUUCAUCACCUAUUAUGCGCCAGGUAUAUUCUGAGUCCUGGAGAGACAACAUUUAACAAAGUCCCUGUCCUCAUGUAGUUUAUUUUCUCGUGGGCAAACAGACAAUAUCUAUUAUUUUUAUUAAAAACAAUGUAAGGUAAUUUCAGCCAAUGAUAAGUAUGCUGCCGGGUGAGAUAUUCAAAAUAUUUAACACAGGUAUGGCCAGCUUGGUGUCACAUCUUCAUGUUCUCUCUUGUAUUUGCUGUCUCCCUUCCUGCCUCACUUCCCUUUCCUGCUCACUCCAACUUCCUUGACAUUGAACUUCCCAAAAAAGUGUUAGUAUAUAAGCUUUAGUUUGUGAUUGUGUUCCCAUAUACUCCCCAUCUUACCCCCACAUCACCCCCAAUUAGAACAUAGGCCAACCUUAGCCUUCUUGUGACAAGUGUUAUACUUUUAGUUGCUGGAUCUUGGGAAGGUCUAGGAGAUGCUGGGAUAGCAAGAUCAGGGGAUGUCUUGGGAAACACCACACCAUCCUCUAAUUCUCCUCCAUCCCAGUUCUCUUUCAGUCCCUUUGAUUCUCCUGAAUGUAAGUGUCCCAAAGUCCACAAAAACUUCUGUGUUCCCUCUUUUAGUGGCUUCACCAUCCCAGUCAACCACACUAAAAGACUUAACAUCACUUUUGACGCUCAACCUAAUCCUCUGCGCUUAGUCACACAUUCAUAGCACUGUGUGGGGAAGAAAAAGCGUUUUCAUGCACUCUUGCUCUCCCUCUGGAUAACACCCUAAUUCAGCCUGUCAUGAUUUAUUUGGAUUUUGCAAUAGCUUGAAACCAACUUUGCAUGCCUCCAUUUUCCACCUCUUCCAGCCCUUUGUAUUAAUAGCACCAAUGUUUUAGUGCCUUAAAAUAUCCGGCGGAUCACUUGAUGUCAGGAGUUCAAGACCAGCCUGGCUAACAUGGUAAAACCCCGCCUCUACUAAAAAUAAAAAAAUUAGCUGAGUGUGGUGGCGUGCGCCUGUAGUCCAAGUUACUCAGGAAGCUGAGGCAGGAGAAUCGCUUGAACCCGGGAGGCGGAGGUUGCAGUGAGCCGAGAUCACGCUAGUGCACUCCAGCCUGGAUAACAAAAGUAAGAAGACUCUGUCUCAAAAAAUAAAUAAAUAAAUAAUAAAUAAAUAAAAAGACAAAAUCCUUAACUCUCCUACAAUGAACUUUUGGUUUAAAUAGUGGAGUACCAUAAGAGCUUCUCACUUCUUUCUCCCAUUUUAUUUUUUCUUUUCUUUUCUUUUCUUUUUAGAUGGAGUCUCACUCAAUCACCCAGGCUGGAGUGCAGGGGCAUGAUCUUGGCUCGCUGCAGCCUCCCUCUCGGAUUCAAGCAAUUCUUUCACCUCAGCCUCCCGAGUAGUAGAAAUAGGGUUUCACUGUGUUGGCCAGGCUGGUCUCGAACUCCUGACCUCAAGUGAUCUGCCCAACUCAGCCUCCCAAAGUGCUGGGAUUACAGGUGUAAGCCACUGUACCCGGCUUUUCUCCCAUUUUCUUAUUUAUGUAUUUAUUUUAAAUUAUUUUUCAUUUUUGUGAGAUGGAGUCUCGCUCUUUCGCCAGGCUGGAGUGUAGUGGCGCGAUCUCAGCUCACUGCAGCCUCCGCCUCCCGGGUUCAAGCAAUUCUUCUGCCUCAGCCUCCUGAGUGGCUGGGACUACAGGCAAGUACCACCAGGCACAGCUAAUUUUUGUAUUUUUAGUAGAGAUGCGGUUUUACCAUGUUGGCCAGGAUGGUCCCGAUCUCUUGACCUCGUGAUCUGCCUGCCUCGGCCUCCCAAAGUGCUGGGAUUACAGGUGUGAGCCAUCGCACCCAGCCUUUAUUUAUUUAUUUAUUUAUUUUUGAGAUGGAGUCUCAUUCUGUCGCCCAGGCUGGAGUAUAAUGGUGCAAUCUUGGUUCACUGCAACCUCUGCUUCCCAGGUUCAAGCGAUUCUCCUGCCUCAGUCUUCUGAGUAGCUGGGAUUACAGGUGUCCACCACUAUGCCCAGCUAAUUUUUGUACUUUUAGUAGAGACAGGAUUUCAUCAUGUUGGCCAGGCUGGUCUCAAACUCCUGACCUUGUGAUCUGCCCACCUGGGCUUCCCAAAGUGCUGAGAACACAGGUGUGAGCCACUGCACCCGGCCUUUUCUCCCAUUUUCUAAGGUGACCAUAAAAAAUUUUCUUUUCUUUUUUCUUUUGAGACAGGGUCUUGCUGUGUUGCCCAGGCUGGAGUUCAGUGGCGCAAUCUGGGCUCACUGCACACUCCACCUUUGGGGCUCAAGCGAUCCUCCCACCUUACCUCUCAAGUAGCUGGGACUACAGGUAUGCAACACCACGCCCAGCUAUUUUUUCGUAUUUUUAGUAGAGGCGGGGUUUCACCAUGUUGGCCAGGCUGGUCUCAAUCUCCUGACCUCGUGAUCCGCCUGCCUUGGCCUCCCAAAGUGCUGGGAUUACAGGCGUGAGCCACUGCACCCAGCCUGUAUUAUGUCUUUUUAAAAAUUUAAACAUGUAUUACCUUGGGAAAAAAUUAAUAUUAAUAAGAAGAAACCUUUAGACUGUACUUUCAGGGAUCAUUUCUGUAAUUCGUUACUAGAGAAAUUUCUCUGAAUGUGUAGAGCAGUUAAUUUUUUUUAUUAUUUUAAAUAAAAUUAAAAAAAAAAAAACUGGCCAGGUGCAGUGGCUCAUGCCUGUAAUCCCAGCACUUUGGGAGGCCAAGGCAGGCAGAUCACGAGGUCAAGAGAUCAAGACCAUCCUGGCCAACAUGGUGAAACCCCGUCUCUACUAAAAAUACAAAAAUUAACUGGGCGUGGUGGCUCAGGCCUGUAGUCCCAGCUACUCGGGAGGCUGAAGCAGGAGAAUCACCUGAACCCGGGAGGUAGAGGUUGCAGUGAGCCGAGAUUGCACCACUGCACUCCAGCCUGGUGACAGAGCGAGACUCCAUCUCAAAAAAAAAAAAAAGAAACUUUCUAGCUUCCCUGUUCCCUUUUGCCUACAUGACAAGGCUUAAAUCGCCACAUCGCGCUCUUUUAAAUAGGGCCUCAGCCUGCCUUCUGAGCUCAUCUGACAGCCUUCUCCCCAGCUUCGCCCAUGCCAGUCACACAUUUCUUUAAGGAAAUAUAUUGAGCACCUACGGUAUGCUAGUGGGUAUAGAAACAUGAAUAAGACAUCCUUAGUUCCUCAAUGAAUUAUCUAAUGGCAGAAACAGAUGCAUAAAAAGUAAAUACACUUCAGGGGAUUCGAUGCUGAAAUAAAAGCAAAGACAAUGGCCUCUUCUAUGGAAAGGCAAAAAGCAACACUUUGCCCCAGUUUGUCUGUCAUUUCUGGCUCCAUGCCCUUGAUAAUGCUGGUUUGUUUGGUUGAGGUUUUGUGUGUGGGUGGCUGUACAGAAGGACAACAUGACAUUUUCUCUUACCAGUCCUGCCCUCUCCCGCCCGCAAGAAACAAAGGCUUUUUCUUCCUUGCUCACCAAUCAGUUUGUCCAUUAUGCUGUGAUUCUAUUUCAGUCAGGAUGCGUUAUAAGACAGUAAUUAAGAAGGCCAGGCCAGGCACAGUGGCUUACGCCUGUAAUCCCAGCACUCUGGGAGACUGAGAUGGGUGGAUCACCUGAGGUCAGGAGUUCGAGACCAACCUGGCCAACAUGGUGAAACCCCGUCUCUACUAAGAAUACAAAAAUUAGCUGGCCGUGGUGGUGGGUGCCUAUAAUCCCAGCUAGUUGGGAGGCUGAGGCAGGAGAAUUGCUUGAACCCGGGAGGUGGAGAUUGCAGUGAGCCGAGAUUGUGCCACUGCACUCCAGCCUAGGCAAUACAGUGAGACUCUGUCUCAAAAAAAAAAAAAAAAAAAAAAAGGUAAUUCAAGAAUAUUUAAUGGAGACUUUGGGACCUGAACGGGGGUUAAAGGAUGGAUAACAGCCAGAUGGCAGGAGUGGCCAGUGCAAAAAAUUUAUCUCUGGGAAAGAGCACAUGCAUGGGGACUAGUGAAGCAGUCAGCCUGGCUGCAGAGAAGGUGUUGCUAGUUAAUGGGAGAUAAGGUUGGUACAUGGGAUAAAGUUAUGGGCAUGAACACAGGCACAGGUGUUUAUAUCUGAAGUAAACAGGGACUCUGUAGGCUCUUGAGCAAAAAUAACAUGAUAAAAUCAAUACUUGAACAUUAGUGUGAAAGUUAGCAGGAUGCAAAAUGAAUUCCUGGUGUGCCUCCUUCCCAAACUCUCCACACUGGAUUAGCCCCCACACUUGGCAUGGAGCUAAAUGAAGACUAUCCCUCGAAGUUUUAGCAACGAAAGGGAAAAAAGAGUCAAUGGCUGCCUAUAAAGAGCAGCAGGGUUAAACAAAGAUAAAUUUGAAAAGAAGAGCAGAUUUGGAAGAAAACAGCAAUAUUCAGUUUUUAAUUCACCAAAUAUUUACUGAGCCUUUAGUACAUGCAAAACACUGCUAAGUACUGUGCCGAAUAUACAGUUCCUCUUUUCAAGGAGAGAGUAAUACAGGUACACAGCUCCCUAUCAUGGAAUGCAAGAAUGCUGGGAGAAUAGGAAUGAAGAAGAGAGUAUUCUAGACAAGUGGCUCUCAAACUUUUUGGUCUCAGGACCCCUCAAUACUCUUAAAAAUUAUUGAAGGCCUCAAAGAGCUUUUGUUUAUGUGGGUUUUGUCUAUCUAUCAAUAUUUUCAAUAUUAGAAAUUAAAACAAAAAUCUGGCCGGGCGCGGUGGCUCAUGCCUGUAAUCCCAGCACUUUGGGAGGCCAAGGCAGGCAGAUCAUGAGGUCAAGAGAUCGAGACUAUCCUGGCCAACAUGGUGAAACCCUGUUUCUACUAAAAAUACAAAAAUUAGCCGGGCAUGGUGGCACGCGCCUAUGGUCCCAGCUACUUGGGAGGCUGAGGCAGGAGAAUCGCUUGAACCCAUGAGGUGGAGGUUGCAGUGAGCCGAGAUUGAGCCACUGCACUCCAGCCUGAGCAACAGACCAAGACUCUGACUCAAAAAAAAAAAAAAACCCAAAGUCUAAAAAGAUGUAUUUACCCAUUUUUGAGUAGCGAUAUUAAACCCAUUACAUGUUAUCAUAAACAUUUUAAGAAAAAUAUAUUUUCUAAAACAAAGAAAAAUAGGUACAACAAAGAGUUAUUCUGUUUAAUGUAUUUGCAGAUCUCCUUACUGUCUGGCAUAUAGAAGAAACCUGGAUUCUCAUAUCUGACUCUGCCUUCAAACUAUUGUGAUUUUUUUUUUAAGUAUUUGAAGCAAACCUGUCCUCAUACAGACAUGGAGUAGGAAAAGGGAGGAAUUUUCAGACCCCUUGAAAGAGUAUUAGGGACCCCCAGGAGUCUUUGGUUCACAUUUUGAGAACCCCUUUUUUAAACUAUAAUUAGUUAUAUAAUCCUCCAGUAGGAUUUAUUUGUCAAAAAAACUCCCUGCAUUCCCAACACUAAUGAGAGCUAAUAGAAUGGGAAUGACACUUGUCAGUUUUUUUGUUUGUUUUUUUGCCCAGGCUGGAGUGCAAUGGCGCGAUCUCGGCUCAAGAGAUUCUCCUGCCUCAGCCUCACGAGUAGCUGAGAUUACAGGCGCAUGCCAUCACACCCGGCUAAUUUUUGUAUUUUUUGUAGAGAUGGAGUUUCACCGUGUUGCCCAGGCUAGUCUCAAACUCCUGAGCUCAAGUGAUCUACCUGCCUCGAUCUCCCAAAAUGCUGGGAUUACAGGUGUGAACCACCGCGCCUGGCCUAAAUUGUUUUUUUGUAAUCUAAAAAGAGGAAACUAAAUUUUACUAAUUGUUGUGCCAAACCCCUAUUAACCUCUGUAAGGAAGGCACCAGGUUCAAGAGGCCAAAGGAGAGACCCAGAACCAGCAAAUAAGACCUGGGGUUUUAUUAGGGGAUUACAUACAUGGAAGAGAAUCCAGUGGCAGCAGGCUGGAAAGGGGAAUUGCCUUAAUUAGAGAAAUGGUCCAGUGGCAGUGGGAUGGACAAGAUAUCUGUCUUACCUACAAUCCAAUGGUGGCAGGUUGGACAACAUGACCCCCUGCCUAUAGUCCGGGGCUGGUGCACUGGACAUCACAGCCACAUGGCCCAGUGACGACUGGCUGCGCAGAAAAACCACAAUCAUUUGCAAAUAGUAUGCAAUUAAUAUAGCAUUUUCACCUAACACCCUCCCUCUAACAACCUCCACUUGGCAAGCUGCAUCCAACCCAAAACUCAGGGCCUAAAUCCCCUGUAUGGCCCCUGGUCCACUGUGUUAUGGGAUCCUUGGGGGUGUUGCUUUUCCAGCCGGAAACCUCUGUGGCCAGUGGCGCCUUUGCCUGAGUUUUGCUCAGGCCCAUUGGGCCGAAUCAGCCUGUCAGGCUGUGCUCAGCUCAUGCUACCUGCCAAGAUCCCACACCUUCUGAGAUGAGUGGAGUGGAGUGGUGACAGGUGUGUGAGCAAGUGAGCACGGGGUCCAGCCACUGCAAACAGCCAGGCACAUCGGCUGCAGUAGGGCAGGCAGCUCCAGGCACCACCACGGGCACUGGCUCCCUGCGAAGCUGCAGCUGAACCAGGUGUACCACAAGUAGCUUCCACAGCUGGCACUGGGGAACGUGGUGCUGCCCAGAAGCUUGGAGAUGCCAGGAAAUGCAGUGUCAAAGAGUAUGUCACAGCCUUGGCUUGGGGAGCUUCUAGGUCUGAGCUCAUCAAAGGGCCACAGCUCUUCUCUCCUUGUCUCCUGCAAUGUGGCAAGCAAGGGGUGUGUUUCAGCCCUGUUUGUGUUACAGCUCUUUUAGACCCGCCAUGCGGCAGGUCCUGAGUUCUCGUCCUGUGUCCAGAAAGAAUGAGGUACGUGGACAAGUGGAGGGUGAGCAAGGCGAAGAAGAGCUUUACUGAGCAACAGAACAGCUCAGAGACCCACAGUGGGUAGCUCCUCUUUGAAGGGAGGGUGUCCCAUCAAGUGUUCGGCUCUCAGCAGAGAGGAGACCCUGGGGUGGGUAGCUCCUCUCCAUAGCUGGUCAUCCUGUCAUCUCCCUGAGUCUGGCUGAGUCAGGUUUUUAUCAGCAAGGAAGUGCUUGCUGAUUGGUCCACAGGCAGCCAUGGGCGGGCCCAGAAAAAAGCACAAAUUCCCACUCUGGUCUGCAGGGCUGGCAGCCUGGUCCCCAGGCUUCACGCCUUCCCCAGCUUGAAGGCGGGGCUUCACCAGGGACCUUCCCCUUUCCACCCAGGAGCCUGCCUGCCUCCUGCCACUGUUCAUGGUGCCCAGGCUGCUCUUGCAGAGUGGUGCCUGCAGCCCAGCACUGAGCUGCCCUCAGACCCCACUCAGCCUCCCUCCCAUGCUUGUUUGUGCCCAAAGCCCGGAGAGGGUCAAGGCGGCAGGGGGCUGGCAUGUCAGCACUGCCCCAAGAAUGAGCACACCUGGCUGGAUUGCAACAGCACCUUGGCUUGGCCUCAACUUUGCACCAAGAUCUGAUUGGGCUCCAGGAGUAAGGAGAGGCUAGGCAGCGGGAGCAGGCAUUUCCGACCCUGCAGCUGCAGCUUGGGCGGCUGCAGGUGCAUCCAGGAGGGUGGGGAUCCUGCCUGCUCCAUGGAAUACACAGCCCCAGCCGCGCCUCCCGGCUGCAGCCAGCAUUGUCAGAGAGGCUGCUCCAGAUGGGCUGCCACUGCCAUGAACAGGGCAGGACAGGGGUUCAGAUGUUCAUCAUUGAUAAGGAAAAAAUGUCCAGGUUGGCCACUCCCAGAUUCCCUAGCUUAGAACACACAUUCAGAUGCAUCUGCCAUACAGGGUCAUUCUCAGGGUAGGCUUCACUUAUUGCUCUCAGGUGUGUUUAUGCUACACUAAGAUUAGUGUGUAGGUUGACAUUUGCAUCUUCACCAGUCUGAAGGCCUGAUGGUCACAUCAGGUAGGGAGUAUCAGGGACAAGAGCAUGAAUUCCCUAAGUGUCACUCUCACUUGUUUGUUCAUUUUCAGCUGACACAUUGUACAAUGGUUAAGUAAAAGAUUUCCCAAUUAUAAUAUUUAGCCUUAAGUAACUUCAAAAAAUGGGUGUUGGUUCCCUGCCCAGAUUCUACUUACUGGUCAUGGUCCCCAUUCCCUACAUGCUGUGACUCUUGGCUGCUACCAGUUCAUACCUGUAUCUUUCUGUGAAGAACUGACCAUAAAUGAUGGAUGCUACCUAAUCAGGAACAUCACACUCUGCCACCACCCUCCUGCACUAACUCCAGGCGGCCCAUAGCCCACGACUGAAUAAUACAGGAAUACUAAAGCUUGCUUCCUUGCCUCAAGAAGAGACAAGUCCAUGGUGCCAUCCACACUCCAGAGCUGCUCAUGGGAUCAAAAUGAAGAUAGAUUUCAACUGAACCCAUGUCUUUGCCUAGCUUCUUCCUCUGUCCUAUUCUGUUUCUCUCACUCCCUUACAGGUUUCAGCUGACAUCACUCUCUCAAAAGAAUCGCUGGCACAGGAAUCUUCAUCUCAAGUUCUGCUUCUUGAGAACAUAGCCUGAAACAAGCGUAUGAUUUUAAAACAAUCAUGCAAAGAGGACAAGGAUUGAAAAGAUCAAUAAUGAAGAUAAAAGCAACAACAACAAAAUGGCAGAACUAGUUCUUUUCCUACUUCUGGUAUAAUUUCUUCUUAGCCAAAAUAUGUGAUAAAAAUGACAGUUUAAUAAAACCUAACAAGAUGUCAGUUAAAAGAGAACUACAAAGAGGACUAUUUGAAAAAAAAAUUCUAUCCACUUUCUUUUUUUUUUUUUUUCGAAAUGGAGUCUUGCUCUGUCACCCGGCCUGGGCAACAGAGUGAGACCUUGUCUCAAGAAAAUUUUUAAAAAGGCAGUAUCUUCUGAUAUUAAGGAAGAUGGGUAUUUCUAGUGGAAUUUCAAUAAAAAUUUUUCUAUAAAUAGGGUAUAGGACUAAAAAAUGAGUAUCCUGAUUUUUUACUACUUCUUUGAAUCUUGGCAUCUUUUUCAAUUAUGUUUCUCAUCUAUGAUAGAUAUUAAAACCAAUAAUUAAGAUAAAUUGAAUGUAAACCCAUACCUCCUCAGCAGAUCUGUAGAACUUAUGUAAAAAAAUAAAAAUACAAAAUAAAUAAAACCAGACCUUCAAGCAUCUUUAUUUCCAUGAUAUUAAACCAAGAUUAAAAAAAAAAAAUCUAACGGUGGCCGGCACAGUGGCUCACACCUGAAAUCUCAGUGCUUGGGAGGUUGAGGCAGGAGGGUCACUUGAGGCCAUUGGAGUUCAAGGUUGCAGUGAGCUAUGAUAAUGCCACUGCAUUCCAGCCUGGGUGACAGAGUGAGACAUUGUUUCUUAAGUAAAUAACUUUAAUGAUUACUAUUUAUAAUUGUAGCAAAAUAUUUA